rnacentral:rRNA from 1 species
AACGUCUCAGUUCGGACUGUGGUCUGCAACCCGACCACACGAAGCUGGAAUCGCUAGUAAUCGCGAAUCAGAAUGUCGCGGUGAAUACGUUCCCGGGUCUUGUACACACCGCCCGUCACACCAUGGGAGUCAGCAACGCCCGAAGUCAGUGACCUAACCGAAAGGGAGGAGCUGCCGAAGGCGGGGCCGGUAACUGGGGUGAAGUCGUAACAAGGUAGC